rnacentral:rRNA from 1 species
CCUACGGGAGGCUGCAGUGAGGAAUAUUGGUCAAUGGGCGCGAGCCUGAACCAGCCAAGUAGCGUGAAGGAUGACUGCCCUACGGGUUGUAAACUUCUUUUAUAAAGGAAUAAAGUGAGGCACGUGUGCCUUUUUGUAUGUACGUUAUGAAUAAGGAUCGGCUAACUCCGUGCCAGCAGCCUCGGUAAUACGGAGGAUCCGAGCGUUAUCCGGAUUGAUUGGGUUUAAAGGGAGCGGAGAUGGGUUGUUACGUCAGUGGUGAAAGUUUGCGGCUCAACCGUAAAAUUGCAAUUGAUACUGGCAGUCUUGAGUACAGUUGAGGUAGGCGGACUUCUUGUUGUAGCGG